CAACCCACUUCCUCCAAAAGUCAGGAAACGGUCUUCGCUGCGAGCUCGGCGCCUCGCCGCGCACGCGCCGGGGCGUCUGUGACGGUCCCCCGGCCCCUCCUCUCCUCAUCGCGGGGCGGCCGGCUAGAAGCCCCUCGAGAGACUCGGGGUUGGGGCGCUGCAGUCUUGGAAAAGGCCAAAGAGGGGUCAGAGAGAGUGGUUCUUUGCACAGUUAGGGUUAAGCAGAAAGUUGACUCCUUGAUAACGAAUUGGCAUGGAUUUGACAACUAGCGAUUCCGUUGAACAAACCUUACCUUUCACAACUGAUUCAAUCGAGGAAGAAUUUGUGCCUCCUGUGUUGGGAAGAGACUAGCGUGGGUGUGAGUUAAAAUUUGCUAAAUGCUAAAAGCUUUGAGGCAAUCUUAAAACCAUUGAUGUUAAAAAUGGCAAUUUAAAUAAAAAUGCUCUCUGAUCAGC